CACGGCCAACAAGUGUGACUG
rnacentral:siRNA from 1 species